rnacentral:rRNA from 1 species
UACGAAGGGGGCUAGCGUUGCUCGGAAUCACUGGGCGUAAAGGGUGCGUAGGCGGGUCUUUUAAGUCAGGGGUGAAAUCCUGGAGCUCAACUCCAGAACUGCCUUUGAUACUGAAGAUCUUGAGUUCGGGAGAGGUGAGUAGAACUGCGAGUGUAGAGGUGAAAUUCGUAGAUAUUCGCAAGAACACCAGUGGCGAAGGCGGCUCACUGGCCCGAUACUGACGCUGAGGCACGAAAGCGUGGGGAGCAAACAGGAU